AGAGUUUGAUCAUGGCUCAGAUUGAACGCUGGCGGUAUGCUUAACACAUGCAAGUCGAACGGUAACAUAGAGAGCUUGCCCUCUGAUGACGAGUGGCGGACGGGUGAGUAACGCGUGGGAAUCUACCCAGAAGUUCGGGACAACCUGGUGAAAACCAGGCUAAUACCGGAUAAUGUCUACGGACGAAAGGAGGGGAUCUUCGGACCUUCCGCUUUUGGAUGAGCCCGCGUUAGAUUAGCUAGUUGGUGGGGUAAAAGCCUACCAAGGCGACGAUCUAUAGCUGGUCUGAGAGGACGAUCAGCCACACUGGGACUGAGACACGGCCCAGACUCCUACGGGAGGCAGCAGUGGGGAAUAUUGGACAAUGGGGGCAACCCUGAUCCAGCAAUACCGCGUGUGUGAAGAAGGCCUGCGGGUUGUAAAGCACUUUCAAUAGUGAAGAAAAGUUAUGGUUUAAUACGCCAUGACCCUGACGUUAACUAUAGAAGAAGCACCGGCUAACUCCGUGCCAGCAGCCGCGGUAAUACGGAGGGUGCGAGCGUUAAUCGGAAUUACUGGGCGUAAAGCGUGCGUAGGCGGUUAUUUAAGUCAGAUGUGAAAGCCCCGGGCUUAACCUGGGAACUGCAUUUGAAACUGGGUAACUAGAGUUUGGUAGAGGCGGGUAGAAUUCCUGGUGUAGCGGUGAAAUGCGUAGAUAUCAGGAGGAAUACCAGUGGCGAAGGCGGCCCGCUGGACCAAAACUGACGCUGAGGUGCGAAAGCGUGGGGAGCGAACGGGAUUAGAUACCCCGGUAGUCCACGCCGUAAACGAUGUCAACUAGUCGUUGGACCCUUCGGGGUUUAGUGACGCAGCUAACGCGUGAAGUUGACCGCCUGGGGAGUACGGCCGCAAGGCUAAAACUCAAAUGAAUUGACGGGGGCCCGCACAAGCGGUGGAGCAUGUGGUUUAAUUCGAUGCAACGCGAAGAACCUUACCUACCCUUGACAUCAUCAGAACUUGUUAGAGAUAACUCGGUGCCUUCGGGAACUGAUAGACAGGUGCUGCAUGGCUGUCGUCAGCUCGUGUCGUGAGAUGUUGGGUUAAGUCCCGCAACGAGCGCAACCCUUGUCCUUAGUUGCCAGCACGUAAUGGUGGGAACUCUAAGGAGACUGCCGGUGAUAAACCGGAGGAAGGUGGGGAUGACGUCAAGUCAUCAUGGCCCUUAUGGGUAGGGCUACACACAUGCUACAAUGGUACAUACAAAGGGCAGCGAAGCAGCAAUGUCGAGCAAAUCCCAGAAAAUGUAUCGUAGUCCGGAUUGGGGUCUGCAACUCGACCCCAUGAAGUCGGAAUCGCUAGUAAUCGUGGAUCAGAAUGCCACGGUGAAUACGUUCCCGGGCCUUGUACACACCGCCCGUCACACCAUGGGAGUGGGCUGCAAAAGAAGUGGGUAGUUUAACCUUCGGGAGAACGCUCACCACUUUGUGGUUCAUGACUGGGGUGAAGUCGUAACAAGGUA
rnacentral:rRNA from 2 species